AACUCUAUCUGGCAGGGGAGACACCAUGAUCACGCAGGUGGUUUUCCCAGGGUGAGGCUCAUCCAUUGCACUGGGGAUGUGUUGACCCCUGCGGUUUCCCCAAAUGUGGGAAAUUCGACUGCAUAAUGUGGUGGGAGGGGGGGACUGCAUUUUGAUCUCCCCUU